rnacentral:rRNA from 1 species
UACGUAGGGCGCAAGCGUUGUCCGGAAUUAUUGGGCGUAAAGAGCGUGUAGGCGGCCCGAUAAGUCCGCUGUGAAAGUCCAGGGCUCAACCCUGGAAUGCCGGUGGAUACUGUCGGGCUCGAAUCCGGAAGAGGUGAGUGGAAUUCCUGGUGUAGCGGUGAAAUGCGCAGAUAUCAGGAGGAACACCAAUGGCGAAGGCAGCUCACUGGGACGGUAUUGACGCUGAGACGCGAAAGCGUGGGGAGCAAACAGG